rnacentral:rRNA from 1 species
CCUACGGGAGGCAGCAGUGGGGAAUAUUGCACAAUGGGGGGAACCCUGAUGCAGCGACGCCGCGUGAGUGAAGAAGUAUUUCGGUAUGUAAAGCUCUAUCAGCAGGGAAGAAAAUGACGGUACCUGACUAAGAAGCCCCGGCUAACUACGUGCCAGCAGCCGCGGUAAUACGUAGGGGGCAAGCGUUAUCCGGAUUUACUGGGUGGAAAGGGAGCGCAGACGGCUGUGCAAGUCUGGAGUGAAAGGCGGGGGCCCAACCCCCGGACUGCUCUGGAAACUGUAAAGCUGGAGUGCAGGAGAGGUAAGCGGAAUUCCUAGUGUAGCGGUGAAAUGCGUAGAUAUUAGGAGGAACACCAGUGGCGAAGGCGACUUACUGGACUGCAACUGACGUUGAGGCACGAAAGCGUGGGUAUCGAACAGGAUUAGAUACCCCAGUAGUC